rnacentral:rRNA from 1 species
GAUGAACGCUGGCGGCGUGCUUAACACAUGCAAGUCGAACGAAGCACUUUAUUUGAUUUCCUUCGGGACUGAUUAUUUUGUGACUGAGUGGCGGACGGGUGAGUAACGCGUGGGUAACCUGCCUUGUACAGGGGGAUAACAGUUGGAAACGGCUGCUAAUACCGCAUAAGCGCACGGCAUCGCAUGCUGCAGUGUGAAAAACUCCGGUGGUAUAAGAUGGACCCGCGUUGGAUUAGCUAGUUGGUGAGGUAACGGCCCACCAAGGCGACGAUCCAUAGCCGACCUGAGAGGGUGACCGGCCACAUUGGGACUGAGACACGGCCCAAACUCCUACGGGAGGCAGCAGUGGGGAAUAUUGCACAAUGGGCGAAAGCCUGAUGCAGCGACGCCGCGUGAGCGAAGAAGUAUUUCGGUAUGUAAAGCUCUAUCAGCAGGGAAGAUAAUGACGGUACCUGACGAAGAAGCACCGGCUAAAUACGUG